ACUCCUACGGGAGGCAGCAGUAGGGAAUCUUCCACAAUGGGCGCAAGCCUGAUGGAGCAACACCGCGUGAGUGAAGAAGGGUUUCGGCUCGUAAAGCUCUUUUGUUAAAGAAGAACACGUAUGAGAGUAACUGUUCAUACGUUGACGGUAUUUAACCAGAAAGUCACGGCUAACUACGUGCCAGCAGCCGCGGUAAUACGUAGGUGGCAAGCGUUAUCCGGAUUUAUUGGGGCGUAAAGAGAGUGCAGGCGGUUUUCUAAGUCUGAUGUGAAAGCCUUCGGCUUAACCGGAGAAGUGCAUCGGAAACUGGAUAACUUGAGUGCAGAAGAGGGUAGUGGAACUCCAUGUGUAGCGGUGGAAUGCGUAGAUAUAUGGAAGAACACCAGUGGCGAAGGCGGCUACCUGGUCUGCAACUGACGCUGAGACUCGAAAGCAUGGGUAGCGAACAGGAUUAGAUACCCUGGUAGGAUAGCG
rnacentral:rRNA from 1 species